UACGGAGGGUGCAAGCGUUAUCCGGAUUCACUGGGUUUAAAGGGUGCGUAGGUGGGCAGGUAAGUCAGUGGUGAAAUCUCCGGGCUUAACUCGGAAACUGCCAUUGAUACUAUCUUUCUUGAAUACCGUGGAGGUCAGCGGAAUAUGUCAUGUAGCGGUGAAAUGCUUAGAUAUGACAUAGAACACCAAUUGCGAAGGCAGCUGGCUACACGAAUAUUGACACUGAUGCACGAAAGCGUGGGGAUCAAACCGG
rnacentral:rRNA from 1 species